GACUCGGUAGCGGAUGGCCCGCGUCUGCGAUUUAUGUAUGCUGUCUACUCGUGUGUUCCGCAGAAGUCGCCUGUCCGAUUCAGGCCCGAGUCA